CAGUGGCGAGAUGUUAGAAAGUACGGGUUUCGGCUGUCACUACAAGAGUCGGGCCCGCGGCGCAUUAGCUAGUUGGGUAGGUAAGUGGCCUACCAAGGCGACGAUGCUAGCCGACCUGAGAGGGUGAUCGGCCACACUGGGACUGAGACACGGCCCAGACUCCUACGGGAGGCAGCAGUAGGGAAUCUUCCACAAUGGACGAAAGUCUGAUGGAGCAACGCCGCGUGAGUGAAGAAGGUUUUCGGAUCGUAAAACUCUGUUGUAAGGGAAGAACACGUACGAGAGUAACUGCUCGUACCUUGACGGUACCUUAUUAGAAAGCCACGGCUAACUACGUG
rnacentral:rRNA from 1 species